rnacentral:rRNA from 1 species
UACGUAGGGGGCUAGCGUUGUCCGGAAUCAUUGGGCGUAAAGCGCGUGUAGGCGGUCCGGUAAGUCCGCUGUGAAAGUCGGGGGCUCAACCCUCGAAUGCCGGUGGAUACUGUCGGGCUAGAGUGCGGAAGAGGCGAGUGGAAUUCCUGGUGUAGCGGUGAAAUGCGCAGAUAUCAGGAGGAACACCAAUUGCGAAGGCAGCUCGCUGGACGUUACUGACGCUGAGACGCGAAAGCGUGGGGAGCAAACAGG